rnacentral:rRNA from 1 species
UACGGAGGGUGCAAGCGUUAAUCGGAAUUACUGGGCGUAAAGCGUGCGUAGGCGGCUGAUUAAGUUGGGUGUGAAAGCCCCGGGCUCAACCUGGGAACUGCAUCCAAAACUGAUCAGCUAGAGUGCGGAAGAGGAGUGUGGAAUUUCCUGUGUAGCGGUGAAAUGCGUAGAUAUAGGAAGGAACACCAGUGGCGAAGGCGACACUCUGGUCUGACACUGACGCUGAGGUACGAAAGCGUGGGGAGCAAACAGG